UUAAACUAUUGUGCAGAAAGUUCUGCUGUUCACAAAUGCAUUGCCAGUAUUUUCUCUGUCUCUAUCUCACUGUGUCUCGACCACAGAAGCGCAUGUAACCAGCCCCACGUCAGACUGUACCCUGACAGAAGAGCGGAGAGAGGAGGAACCAUCUCAACAGGAUGAAGUCAUCUAUACAACAGUGCACACCAACACCAAGCAAAAGGCAAACAUGUAAGUAAAGUGAUAAUUGAUUAAACAAUACACAAAUCAAUGGGUGAUGUUACCUUUACCAACUGCACUGUGUUUGUGUUCACGUCCUCUGUAAGACAACAGCAGAACGAGGAAGCUACGCCCAUCUACAGCUCUAUAUCGGAGCAACAAGCCAAGGAGGAUCUCUACAGUGUAGUAUCCAGGCCCACUCCUAGGGGGAAACGGGCCCAGGAUGACCCAGUCAUCUACACCGGUAACACAUCUCAACUAAGACUUUGGCUGCAUUUUAGACAAGCAGCCCAAAUUCUGUAUUUUUUUUCACUA